CAACCACAUAUAUUUUUUUUUCCGUUUUAUGUGUCAAAAUGCAGACGAUUAAGCGGCCUCCUCUUUGUGCAUCUCUAAGGUCUAGAAUGAGGAACCUUCCUGAAAUGGACCCUAAUGAAAUUGUCCUCAAAUGGCUCAAGAGAAACAAAGAUGCACUACCCUUCAAAACAACCCCACAGCUACAGGUAUCUAACCAGAGAAAAAAAGAAUCUCAGGUCAAGGCCACUGAGGAAAACCCCAGGAUCAAGUAGCCAGGGCAUAUACAAGGUUUCAGUCCUCAGCCACGUUCCUGAAAUGAACCAGCCUCACCUGCGGAGCCUCUCAAUUCCAGGCAUUCUAUUGGUCCUUUUUAGCACCCUAAUUAAAAAGGCUAAAUGGGGUGGCUCCUCCACUCAUGAAAAUCAUCUCUGAAGCAGCACUGAAACCUUUGAACAAAGAGCCGUUUAUCCAGCACAAUAGAACUUUGAUAUCUGAAAUGCUUUAAAAAAUCCAUUCCCAUUCCUGAGGAAAUUAACUUGCCAGGUUGGGUUUCAGGCAACUAACCUUCCUUAUUUUAUUCCUGUAUAAU